rnacentral:rRNA from 1 species
UACGUAGGGUGCAAGCGUUGUCCGGAAUUAUUGGGCGUAAAGAGCUUGUAGGCGGUUUGUCGCGUCUGCUGUGAAAUUUCGGGGCUCAACCCCGAACUUGCAGUGGGUACGGGCAGACUAGAGUGUGGUAGGGGAGACUGGAAUUCCUGGUGUAGCGGUGAAAUGCGCAGAUAUCAGGAGGAACACCGGUGGCGAAGGCGGCGACCUGGGCCAAUACUGACGCUGAGGUGCGAAAGCGUGGGGAGCAAACAGG